UACGAAGGGGGCUAGCGUUGUUCGGAUUUACUGGGCGUAAAGCGCACGUAGGCGGUUUGUUAAGUGAGAGGUGAAAUCCCAGAGCUCAACUCUGGAACUGCCUUUCAUACUGGCAAGCUAGAGUCCGGAAGAGGUAAGUGGAACUCCUAAGUGUAGAGGUGGAAUUCGUAGAUAUCUGGAAGAACACCAGUGGCGAAGGCGGCUCACUGGUCCGGUACUGACGCUGAGGUGCGAAAAGCGUGGGGAGCAAACAGGG
rnacentral:rRNA from 1 species